rnacentral:lncRNA from 1 species
UUUAUACAAGUCUAUCUUUAUUUGUAAAAAAUAAUAUACAACUAAAGCUAAUUUGAUUUUUAAAAUCAAAGUUCAUUUAGUGAUAAUGUACAUUUUAUAAUAAAAUUGUAGUAAAAUACUGACAUUUGAUAGUUUAAACAAAGUAUCAUUCAUGUAAAAAUCAUGUUGCAUGUAAAAUUUAAUUAGAAAAUUCAUAGUUCACAAAAGUACAUAUAUUUUGUUGAUAGCUCAUGAGGACAUUAUCAUAAACUUACUUAAGAUACAGAACAAAAUUCACAGUUAGCUUGACAUUUAGUACUAUAAAAUUUUAAGGUGAAUCCACGGAUAUUUUUGUUAAUAAGGUACACUUGAAACAAUUCAGACUACCAAUGAAUUGACGUUUUAUUGUAUAACCAAGAUCUGUUGGUUUUACAAUAUGUCUAGUAAUCAAUCACUUCACCAAUAAUUUCAAUGAGAGAUCCAGUUGAAAAGACCACUGACAUAUACUUCUGGGGGGACAGUUAAAAUAAGAAGCACUAGCAGCUUUGAUUUCCAUUUUCAUGAAUACAUACAAGACAGAUCUAUAUUUUUACAGUUAAAAGUUGUUCAAAAAGUCAAGCCCUGAAGUAUUUCUUCCCCUAAGAGAACAGUUCUGAUGUUAAAACUUUGUUAAAAAAAAGAGAGACAGAGAGAAAGAGAGGUAGUAUGUGAAAGUAUUUUUACUUAAAAUGUUGAACCCCUGCACCGCUCAUAAUAUAAAUGAAAUGUAACCUUCUACUUACUAACAUUUUGCCAUUCAAGAGUUAAGUUUGUAAAACUCAACAGAAUGUUAAACCUGGAAUGCCAUUAAAAAAUAGUGGUUAAAUAAGUGGAAGAAUUUCUAUGAAUUCAACAAAAAGUACACGGUGUUACCUAACAUUGUGCAGUUAAUGGUUUAGUGAUAAUGUUUAGUGGUACAAUGUGAACAAAAUACGUUGAAGUAUUCUGAGUCCAGUGAUCUUCAUUUAAUCAACUUUACUUCGUAUACUUUUACCAUAGAAAACAUCCUUCAAAACGGAGUCAUUCGAUUCUUCAUUGUUUUACUAGCACACAAUUGUUAUAAGGUAUCCAUUCUAGCCCUACCAUAAAAUUAAUCAAUAAAUAACUCUGAGCGCAACAUCCGUAAGCCAGGGAACUCGCGUAGUUCAUACUAUUCUCAGUCUUUAUAUACAAGCUACGUAGUGCCUGUGCACCUCAUACAACGAAACCAGGCAAGGAACGAAAAGUUAGCAGCCUUACUCUUACCUUGUUCUAAGUGGAUGCAUCACAAAGUAAUAAAUAGCCUCUUAACAUUAAUCGAGAUACACUCUACCUGUCAAAGGUGAAUACUACAUGCUUUCCAUAAAGUGUAGGCAGUGUUCCUACAAACCCCACUAAGGAAAACCCAAAACUUUCAUAUAAAAAGUGCACAAGGCUGUCCUGUGUAUAAAAAUCUCUUAGUUUGGGUGUUUUUUUUUUUUUAAUGAAAAUCAUUCACACUACUCAAACACAUUAAAAGGGUAUAAAAGCAGACCAACAAAAUACACAAACAAGAAAGGAAUGAUUUCCAAUGAGAUUCAGAAUGAGGACAAGAAGACAUGGGAGAGAGUCUCCCACAUCAGCAGGGGCGAUGGAACUGCCUUUCAUGACAUCUAAGGGAUGCCUGAAUGGAAUGAGUUUGUAAAUGUGGA